GCAUAUCAAUAAGCGGAGGAAAAGAAACCAACAGGGAUUGCCCUAGUAACGGCGAGUGAAGCGGCAACAGCUCAAAUUUGAAAUCUGGCCUCGGCCCGAGUUGUAAUUUGUAGAGGAUGCUUUGGGCGCGGCUCCAACUGAGUUCCCUGGAACGGGACGCCACAGAGGGUGAGAGCCCCGUAUAGUUGGAUGCCUAGCCUAUGUAAAGCUCCUUCGACGAGUCGAGUAGUUUGGGAAUGCUGCUCAAAAUGGGAGGUAAAUUUCUUCUAAAGCUAAAUAUUGGCCAGAGACCGAUAGCGCACAAGUAGAGUGAUCGAAAGAUGAAAAGCACUUUGAAAAGAGGGUUAAAUAGCACGUGAAAUUGUUGAAAGGGAAGCGCUUGUGACCAGACUUGCGCCGGGCGGAUCAUCCGGUGUUCUCACCGGUGCACUCCGCCCGGCUCAGGCCAGCAUCGGUUCUCGCGGGGGGAUAAAGGUCCCGGGAACGUAGCUCCUCCGGGAGUGUUAUAGCCCGGGGCGUAAUGCCCUCGCGGGGACCGAGGUUCGCGCAUCUGCAAGGAUGCUGGCGUAAUGGUCACCAGCGACCCGUCUUGAAACACGGACCAAGGAGUCAAGGUUUUGCGCGAGUGUUUGGGUGUAAAACCCGCACGCGUAAUGAAAGUGAACGUAGGUGAGAGCUUCGGCGCAUCAUCGACCGAUCCUGAUGUAUUCGGAUGGAUUUGAGUAAGAGCGUUAAGCCUUGGACCCGAAAGAUGGUGAACUAUGCUUGGAUAGGGUGAAGCCAGAGGAAACUCUGGUGGAGGCUCGCAGCGGUUCUGACGUGCAAAUCGAUCGUCAAAUCUGAGCAUGGGGGCGAAAGACUAAUCGAACCAUCUAGUAGCUGGUUACCGCCGAA
rnacentral:rRNA from 1 species